GACGAACGCUGGCGGCGUGCCUAAUACAUGCAAGUUGAGCGCUGAAGGUUGGUACUUGUACCAACUGGAUGAGCAGCGCACGGGUGAGUGACGCGUGGGGAAUCUGCCUUUGAGCGGGGGACAACAUUUGGAAACGAAUGCUAAUACCGCAUAAAAACUUUAAACACAAGUUUUAAGUUUGAAAGAUGCAAUUGCAUCACUCAAAGAUGAUCCCGCGUUGUAUUAGCUAGUUGGUGAGGUAAAGGCUCACCAAGGCGAUGAUACAUAGCCGACCUGAGAGGGUGAUCGGCCACAAUGGGACUGAGACACGGCCCAAACUCCUACGGGAGGCAGCAGUAGGGAAUCUUCGGCAAUGGACGGAAGUCUGACCGAGCAACGCCGCGUGAGUGAAGAAGGGUUUCGGAUCGUAAAACUCUGUUGGUAGAGAAGAACGUUGGUGAGAGUGGAAAGCUCAUCAAGUGACGGUAACUACCCAGAAAGGGACGGCUAACUACGUG
rnacentral:rRNA from 1 species